rnacentral:rRNA from 1 species
UACGGAAGAUGCGAGCGUUAUCCGGAUUUAUUGGGUUUAAAGGAGCGUAGGCGGGCCUUUAAGCCAGCGGUUAAAUGUCAGCGCCCAACGCUGGCAUGCCGUUGGAACUGGGGGUCUUGAGUGCGGUCAAGGGAGGCGGAACUCGCCAUGUAGCGGUGAAAUGCUUAGAUAUGGCGAAGAACCCCGAUUGCGAAGGCAGCCUCCUGGCCCGUGAUUGACGCUGAGGCUCGAAAGCGCGGGUAUCGAACAG